rnacentral:misc_RNA from 1 species
UUUGCCAUGUUCAAGGACAUGCUAAGGAGCAGAAGCAUAAACAUCAGCACAGUCAUAUUGUAAUCCAAUAAUGCAUGAAUAAAACUUAUAAAGGACAACUCUGCAAAAUAUAGAAAAUAUAACUCUGAAAUCUUAAAGUACUAAAAUAAUUUAAUAAAAAUCAUAAUGAUGAUACUUAAAAAUGAAACCUAGAAAGAUUUUUUUUAAAAAAAA